rnacentral:tRNA from 1 species
GGGACUGUGGUGUGGGUGGUCUGCACGAACGCCUGAAAAGCGUUAGGAUAAAAGUUCGAUUCUUUUCGGUCCCACCU